UACGUAGGGUGCGAGCGUUGUCCGGAAUUACUGGGCGUAAAGAGCUCGUAGGUGGUUUGUCGCGUUGUCCGUGAAAACUCACAACUCAAUUGUGGGCGUGCGGGCGAUACGGGCAGACUGGAGUACUGCAGGGGAGACUGGAAUUCCUGGUGUAGCGGUGAAAUGCGCAGAUAUCAGGAGGAACACCGGUGGCGAAGGCGGUUCUCUGGGCAUUACCUGACGCUGAGGAGCGAAAGUGUGGGGAGCGAACAGG
rnacentral:rRNA from 1 species